rnacentral:misc_RNA from 1 species
UCCGGUUUGUCACCGGCAGUCUCCUUAGAGUUCCCGCCAUUACGCGCUGGCAACUAAGGACAAGAGUUGCGCUCGUUGCGGGACUUAACCCAACAUCUCACGACACGAGCUGACGACAGCCAUGCAGCACCUGUCUCACGGUUCCCGAAGGCACUCUCGCAUCUCUGCAAGAUUCCGUGGAUGUCAAGACCAGGUAAGGUGGGGAUGACGUUGACGUCAUAACC